rnacentral:lncRNA from 1 species
UUUUAUCUAUCUCUCUCUCACAAGGUGUCAGCACAUCUUAAGCAGAAGUGGAGAAGUGCUCAGGAUGAGUCCAUAGAGUAAAACACAUUUUUCCUUUUUAAAUUCCUGAAAUAAGGUCAGGAAAUUCUCCUUCUGUUUGUGGACUUUCUGCAAGCUGGCAAAGAGGCUAAAUUAACUGCAUACAUUAUUCAUUACAAAUUAUUCACUCUAUGCAGCACAUACUGAUUGUUUAGAAAAUUCAUUCUUUCUGUCCUAGAAAUGUCACUGGCUGUAACUCAUUACCUCAUCAUUGACAAAUUCUGUUGAUUGCUUGACUAGUUGCUUUAACUAAUCCAGGAUUAUGGGUCACAAGAAUAAAAACAGGCACUUCACUAGCAGUUUGCGCAUGAGUAUCUCCAAACAUGAUUUCCAAAUGCUAAUUAAUCCCCAGAGCACCUGGGAAGUGAAGUAUUCCUAUCCUUAUAACAGAUUUGUAGCUCUUGAACCUUGUCAGGAGGUGGAAAGUCAUUUUGCUGACUCACACAAGCUGCCAGGUCAGGUGGGUCUCAUUAGCUCCAACCAGCUAGGAUAAAAAACCUGAGUAUUAAAUAUUAGAAAGGGAAAAAAAAAGAAAAAAGAAAUCAAGUAAGAGGAUAUAGGGAGGAUGGAAAAAAACCAGCAGAUAGUACUUUUGUUAGCUGCUGUGGGUUAGAGGAAGUAUUGACAAUGCUGUUUGGUUUCAGAACCUUGUUCUUAGUAUAGUUGUUGAAGUAGCUAAAUAAAUGAUAGGGAGUUAAAUGGGAUUGAACCCUUUCAGUUCAAUUCAAUAAGUUGAUUCUUCUGGGCCUUUAUUUAUUUGUUUUCAAAGUGUUUCUAUGCCAGACUAUGCUAGCAGUCUUAAAAUUGUAUGAGGCUCAAAGGCUAUCUGGGAUUGGCAUCCAUUUGUUCUUCUCUUGGACAAGAUAUACAUGUUCUUGGGAGUCCAAGGUCCAGUUGUCUGUGUAUCUGGCACAGAUACAAUAUAAGGCAAAGAGCCUGAAUUCUUCCUUCCCUCUGAGUGAUGGCUGGGAUGCCCAGAUUACAUUUUUGUCACAGACUUGGCAGAUGGCUCUUUCACCUACACUGAAUUCCACCAAACUUCAGCUCAUAGACACUUGAGAAGAUGUGGGGAUCUGAAGCAGAACCUGUGUCCUGCCACUCUUGGUGUGAAGAACGCUACAGUCCAUUAUUCUGGGCAGGUAAGUUUUUUCCUUAUUUUCAUAAUGUGAUGCCUCAUGCACUAUACAACCAAUGAAGGCUGUGUUAUAUAGGAGACAGUGAGAGGCAGAAAAGUUGAAUUUUAACACUUUCAGCUGUGUCACAUAUCUAGUUUCUGCACAAAUUCAGAAAUCCGUAUAUGACCCACAAGCAGCUUACACAAGAAACCAUCAUCUUGCUAAUAAUACUCAGAUGUAGUUGUGAAUAGCAAAUAUACAUGAAGGGAGCUUGCACUGGCAUAAAGGAAGAGUGACUGACAGGAUAAUAGCACUGAGGGGCGUAUUUUGGGAAUUUCUCACUAGGUACAUGGGACUGUGAGGUUGGUCCCCUCCAGAGCAGGCUGCAAGGUGCUGCAUUUCUCCCGCACACCUCAGUUGUUCUAGUUGUGUGUUCAGAGGAUAGAUAAGCUGCUAAUGUGCAAUAUGAAUUGCAUUUUUAAGAGUUUGUAAAAUGUUUCCAGCUGAGGUUACCCCUCAGACUCAUUUGACCUUAGGGGGAAAAAAAAAAAAAAAAAGACACUCGUUGGGUGAUUUUCUAUAUCAUAGUAGGAAAUGUUUUAAAUAAGUUAAAUGAACAUGUAUUGGGUUUACAUGGCAAAGGUUUGGUAGCAAGGGGCUGCAGGGGUGGCCUCUGUGAGCAGAGCCCAGCAGCGGCCCCAUGUCAGAGCAGAGCCAGCUCCAGCCAGCUCCAAAAGGGACCUGCUGCUGGCCAGAGCCCAGCCAGGGAGCGAUGCUGGGUGGGCCUCUGGGAGAGCAGAGUUAAGGAAGGGAAACAACGCCAUGCAACAGCAGCUGGGAGAGAGGGGUGAGAACAUGUGAGGGAACCAGCCCCCUGCUGCCCCCGAGGUCAUUGCAGCAGGAGGUGCUCCAGGUGCCAGAGCCAAUGUUUCCCUGUAGACUGUGGAGAGGCCC